UGGAUCCUGGCUCAUAUUGAACGCUGGCGGCAGGCUUAACACAUGCAAGUCGAGCGGGGGAUGUUGCUUCGGUAACUGACCUAGCGGCGGACGGGUGAGUAAUGCUUAGGAAUCUGCCUAUUAGUGGGGGACAACAUUCCGAAAGGAAUGCUAAUACCGCAUACGCCCUACGGGGGAAAGCAGGGGAUCUUCGGACCUUGCGCUAAUAGAUGAGCCUAAGUCAGAUUAGCUAGUUGGUGGGGUAAAGGCCUACCAAGGCGACGAUCUGUAGCGGGUCUGAGAGGAUGAUCCGCCACACUGGGACUGAGACACGGCCCAGACUCCUACGGGAGGCAGCAGUGGGGAAUAUUGGACAAUGGGCGGAAGCCUGAUCCAGCCAUGCCGCGUGUGUGAAGAAGGCCUUUUGGUUGUAAAGCACUUUAAGCGAGGAGGAGGCUACCGAGACUAAUACUCUUGGAUAGUGGACGUUACUCGCAGAAUAAGCACCGGCUAACUCUGUGCCAGCAGCCGCGGUAAUACAGAGGGUGCGAGCGUUAAUCGGAUUUACUGGGCGUAAAGCGUGCGUAGGCGGCUUUUUAAGUCGGAUGUGAGAUCCCUGAGCUUAACUUAGGAAUUGCAUUCGAUACUGGGAAGCUAGAGUAUGGGAGAGGAUGGUAGAAUUCCAGGUGUAGCGGUGAAAUGCGUAGAGAUCUGGAGGAAUACCGAUGGCGAAGGCAGCCAUCUGGCCUAAUACUGACGCUGAGGUACGAAAGCAUGGGGAGCAAACAGGAUUAGAUACCCUGGUAGUCCAUGCCGUAAACGAUGUCUACUAGCCGUUGGGGCCUUUGAGGCUUUAGUGGCGCAGC
rnacentral:rRNA from 1 species